CAGCGAGCCCCCAGCGCCGCCCCGCGGUCAGCGCCGAGCGGAGUCUUACCACAGCGCCUUACCGCGGCAGCGGAGAGCGGCAGAGCGGCACCCCCGGUCGCCCCCCAGCCCUGCAUGGCCCGCACGAGAAUGCAAGGACAAAGGAGACAAUUCCAAGGGAAUGAGGUAACUUAAGAAGGCCAGCCCAGCAACAGUGAAAACCAGUCACUCAACUCCCAGUCAUCAGUGACACUUUCAGAUCACCCAGGCUGUUCACAAGGUAACGAGAUCGAGAAGAAUCCUGACUACUGAGUAACCAUAGUAAAGGCCUGAACUGAGGAAAAAUGAAAUCAAGGUUGCUGUAAGACAGCUGCAUCUCCUGAAAGAAAUACCCUAUUUGCAGCAAGCCAGGGUUUUGAAGCUUGCUGUCAUUAUUCCCAAGGUGAGGAUACUGCUGUUGUCACUGGGGUAGACCCUGGGCUCAGUCCAAGCCAGUUAGGUAAGCCUGAAUCAGAAUACCAUGGGGAAGACACCUGCUACAUUAUCUGACUGCUUGCAUUCUUCCCUGUUCUCAGUGACUGUGCAAUAUUCAGACAUUUCAACUCCAGCUGGAUUCCUUUAAAAUUCAGUAUUUGAAUAUGUCCCAUUUGUACAUGAUUGACACCACCCAAACUCUUAAGAGAAUGCUGAGACAUGAAAUAGUCUCUUACUCAAGAAGCAGAAAAUCUGCAGUGACUAGAUGCUUUCUAAAACACAUUGCUUUGUAAAUCCUAACCAUUACCCAUCUUGUGAGUUAGUGAAUGACUGAAUCCUCCUUAAAAUGGGCAAUAACCUAUAAAAGGGAAACACAGUUUGACAGGGUUCAGUGGCAGCUGUGGCCUCACAGUACAGGAACUUCUAUAAAAGCAGACAACUCACUACUUCACAUGGGAAGAGGCAGGUGAAGACCACUGAACAUCCCUGGACCUGCUACUGUUGUCUAGUCUGUUCUUAACAUAAGAGCCUUUAAACAAUGUACUUAGCAGAGCCACCCCAGCUCCACAGCCACAAAACACACUUGCUUCCAUACACUGCUGCUGGAAAAACAAGUGAUAUUUAUGUUUGAACACCUUUCUUGUGCCAGUUAUUGAGGAGAAAUCAUAGAUACUGCUUAAAAAACCAGAAAGUGUUAUUAACUUAAUUUUCAAAUCCAGGUCCUCAAGAGUAAAUUUCAUCUGAAACCUGGAAAGAACACCACAGGCAAUAUCAUAUCAGUAAUACAAGUAAGCAAGCAACUACUCAGGCUGCAAAAAGACUGUUGUUUCUUUACCUUGAU